rnacentral:lncRNA from 1 species
CUCAGCGCCACCCUGACACUACUGUCGUCCUCCUUAGUUUCCUUCUUCUCUGUCAUCUUGCAGAUUUUAUUUUUUUUACUUGUUGCUUACAAAAAAUUUUAAUCUUUCCAACCCAUUUUCACACCUAGAUCCCAAGAGUUUCAGCCGUACAUUACGGCAAAUAAUAUAUUCCUGAUCGAUCACAUUAUUGGCAUUAAUUAAUUUACAUGACACAUUUUAGAAAUAAUGAAAAUGUUAAUCCAAAGAAUAUUCAAAUUUUCGAUCUUCACCCUCCUUUCGUUAUUUUUCUC